GAUGAACGCUGGCGGCGUGCCUAAUACAUGCAAGUCGAGCGAACAGACGAGGAGCUUGUUCCUCUGACGUUAGCGGCGGACGGGUGAGUAACACGUGGAUAACCUACCUAUAAGACUGGGAUAACUUCGGGAAACCGGAGCUAAGACCGGAUAAUAUAUUGAACCGCAUGGUUCAAUAGUGAAAGACGGUUUUGCUGUCACUGAUAGAUGGAUCCGCGCCGCAUUAGCUAGUUGGUAAGGUAACGGCUUACCAAGGCAACGAUGCGUAGCCGACCUGAGAGGGUGAUCGGCCACACUGGAACUGAGACACGGUCCAGACUCCUACGGGAGGCAGCAGUAGGGAAUCUUCCGCAAUGGGCAAAAGCCUGACGGAGCAACGCCGCGUGAGUGAUGAAGGUCUUCGGAUCGUAAAACUCUGUUAUUAGGGAAGAACAAAUGUGUAAGUAACUAUGCACGUCUUGACGGUACCUAAUCAGAAAGCCACGGCUAACUACGUG
rnacentral:rRNA from 1 species